CCAUCACCAUCUUCCAGGAGCCAGAUCCUGCUAACAUCAAGUGGGGUGAUGCUAGUGGUGAGUAUGUUGUGAAGUCUACUUGCAUCUUCACCACCAUGGAGAAGGCCAGGGCCCACUUGAAGGGUGGAGCCAAAAGGGUCAUCAUCUCUACCCCCGUGUUUGUGAUGGGUGUGAACCAUGAGAAAUAUGACAACUCACUCAAGAUUGUCAGCAAUGCAUCCUGCACCACCAACUGCUUAGCCCCCCCUGGCCAAGGUCAUCUAAGCACACUUUGGCAGUGUGAAAGGGUUCAUGACCACAGUCUAUGCCAUCACUGUACUCAGAAGACUGUGGAUGAUCCCUCUGGAAAGCUGUGGUAUGGUGGCCAUGGGACUUCCCAGAACAUGCAUCCACUGGUGCUGCCAAGGCUGUGGGCAAGGAGCUGAACGGGAAGCUCACUGGCAUGACCUUCCGUGUUCCUACCCCCAGUGGAUAUCCAUUGUGGAUCUGACAUGUUGCCUGGAGAAACCUGCCAAGUAUGAUAACAUCAAGAAGGUGGUGAAGCAGGCAUCUGAGGGCCCACUAAAGGGCAUCCUGGGCUACACAGAGGACCAGGGUGUCUCCUGUGACUUCAACAGCAACUCCCACUCCUCUACUUUUGAUGCUGGGGCUGGCGUUGCUCUCAAUGACAACUUUGUAAAGCUCAUUUCCUGGUAUGACAAUAAAUAUGGCUACAUACAGCAACAGGGUGGUAGACCUCAUGGCCUAUAUGGCCUCCAAGGACUGA
rnacentral:lncRNA from 1 species